GUUCUUGUUGAUGCUGUCAUAAUUGGAGUGUCUGUUGUUGUUGGAGUUAUUGGUUUAUGUUGCUGCCUUGGAAUUGCUUUGCAAUUCUGGGCAUAUAUAAGGAAGAAAGCAAAGCACCAUCAUGUUUGUUUUACUAAUGCUGUCACUGAUAACCCUGUCCUAAUAAAGGCAGUUUAAACUCUCUUUAAUAAUAACUUUAUUUUAUUUUGUUGUAUUUGGUUGGUAAUUAGUCUCGCAUAGCCAGACUACACCUGCCAUCCUUUUUUUACCUUUUUAAAAAUUAUUAAUUUUGGCAGCUUAAACUCUCUUUCUUUGAUUAACACACAAUAAUGAUACAUUAUUUAA